rnacentral:rRNA from 1 species
AAUCUGCCCUGCACUCUGGGACAAGCCCUGGAAACGGGGUCUAAUACCGGAUACGACUCGGGAGGGCAUCCUUCCGGGUGGAAAGCUCCGGCGGUGCAGGAUGAGCCCGCGGCCUAUCAGCUUGUUGGUGGGGUGAUGGCCUACCAAGGCGACGACGGGUAGCCGGCCUGAGAGGGCGACCGGCCACACUGGGACUGAGACACGGCCCAGACUCCUACGGGAGGCAGCAGUGGGGAAUAUUGCACAAUGGGCGAAAGCCUGAUGCAGCGACGCCGCGUGAGGGAUGACGGCCUUCGGGUUGUAAACCUCUUUCAGCAGGGAAGAAGCGCAAGUGACGGUACCUGCAGAAGAAGCGCCGGCUAACUACGUGCCAGCAGCCGCGGUAAUACGUAGGGCGCAAGCGUUGUCCGGAAUUAUUGGGCGUAAAGAGCUCGUAGGCGGGCUUGUCGCGUCGGAUGUGAAAGCUCGGGGCUUAACCCCGGGUCUGCAUUCGAUACGGGCAGGCUA